UACGUAGGGGGCAAGCGUUAUCCGGAUUUACUGGGUGUAAAGGGGGCGCAGACGGCGAUGCAAGCCAGGAGUGAAAGCCCGGGGCCCAACCCCGGGACUGCUCUUGGAACUGCGUGGCUGGAGUGCAGGAGGGGCAGGCGGAAUUCCUGGUGUAGCGGUGAAAUGCGUAGAUAUCAGGGGGAACACCGGUGGCGAAGGCGGCCUGCUGGACUGCAACUGACGUUGAGGCCCGAAAGCGUGGGGAGCAAACAGG
rnacentral:rRNA from 1 species